ACGCCUGGAAAUGACGUUCACCAAAAAGCAUUAAACAUUUAGACAAAUCUCAAUUUCUUUGCAAACGUACGCCAGGAAAUGACGUUCACCAAAAGCAUUAAACAUUUAGACAAAUCUCAAGACGUACGCCUGGAAAUGACGUUCACCAAAAAGCAUUAAACAUUUAGACAAAUCUCAAGGUAAA